GUCCCGGUUUAAGCGUGUAGGCUGGUUUUCCAGGCAAAUCCGGAAAAUCAAGGCUGAGGCGUGAUGACGAGGCACUACGGUGCUGAAGCAACAAAUGCCCUGCUUCCAGGAAAAGCCUCUAAGCAUCAGGUAACAUCAAAUCGUACCCCAAACCGACACAGGUGGUCAGGUAGAGAAUACCAAGGCGCUUGAGAGAACUCGGGUGAAGGAACUAGGCAAAAUGGUGCCGUAACUUCGGGAGAAGGCACGCUGAUAUGUAGGUGAAGUCCCUCGCGGAUGGAGCUGAAAUCAGUCGAAGAUACCAGCUGGCUGCAACUGUUUAUUAAAAACACAGCACUGUGCAAACACGAAAGUGGACGUAUACGGUGUGACGCCUGCCCGGUGC
rnacentral:rRNA from 1 species